rnacentral:rRNA from 1 species
AGUACUCGAGUGGCGAACGGGUGAGUAACACGUGGGUAAUCUGCCCUGCACUCUGGGAUAAGCCUGGGAAACUGGGUCUAAUACUGGAUACGACCUUUCUCCUUAUGGGGUUUGGUGGAAAGUUUUUCGGUGUAGGAUGAGCCCGCGGCCUAUCAGCUUGUUGGUGGGGUGAUGGCCUACCAAGGCGACGACGGGUAGCCGGCCUGAGAGGGUGAUCGGCCACAUUGGGACUGAGAUACGGCCCAG